AAGUACUCCUUCCGUCCAUCCCAAUUUAUGUGAUAUAGUUCGGUAGGCAUGGAAUUUCAGAAAGAAAGUACUCCCUCCGUCCGUCCCAAUUUAUGUGAUAUAGUUCGGUAGGCACGGAGUUUAAGAAAGAAAGUACUCCCUCCGUCCGUCCCAAUUUAUGUGAUAUAGUUCGCUAGGCAUGGAGUUUGAGAAAGAAAGUACUCCCUCCCUCCAUCCCAAUUUAUGUGAUAUAGUUCGGUAGGCAUGGAGUUUAAGAAAGAAAGUACUCCCUCCGUCCGUCCCAAUUUAUGUGAUAUAGUUUGACUGGGGCUCAAAGUUUAAGAAAUAAAAGAAAGACUUUUGAAUCUUGUGGUCUAAAAUAAGUCAAAGAUAAUUGCGUGGUUAUAGAUCAUCUCUUUAAGCGUAAAAGUUAAAGUUUGAAGUUAAAUGGUUACCAAAUAAGGAUAUGUAUCAUUUUUUGGGGACAUACUAAAAAGAAAAGUGUAUCACAUAAAUUGUGAUAUAGGGAGUAAUACUUUUGAAAUUUGAGGUCUAAAAUAAGUCAUAGAUAUUUGUGUGACUAUAAAAGGGGAAGUUUUAAGUUAAAUUAUUUUUAAAUAUCUGGGACAAACUAAAAAGGAAAGUGUAUUACAUAAAUUGGGACAGAGGGAGUAUUUACUUUUUGGGGCUAUUCUGUAGUGCAUUUUUGUAUGAAUUUGAUGUGAAGCUCAUAUGUGCCAUGGCUGUCCUUGUGCCGAAGGUCGUAGGGGUAAGGUACCCUCCUGGACCCCACUUUAUGGGAUUUCACAGGGUAUGUUGUUGUUGUGAGUACGAUAUAAUUGAGACGUUUCUUGAAUAGCCGAAGUGAUAUAGUUUGACUAGGCAUGGAGUUUAAGAAAGAAAGGAAUGACUUUUGAAACUUGUGGUCUAAAACAAGUCAUAGAUAUUUGUGUGGCUGUAAAUCAUUUCAUUAAGGGUAAAAAUAGAAGUUUUACAUUAAAUUAUUUCUACAUACAAUAAACAUGUAUCAUUCUUUUUGCGAUAGACUAAAAAGGAAAAUGUAUAAUAUAAAUUGGGAUAGAGGGAGUACUUACUUUUUGGGGCUAUUCUGUACUGCAUUUUUAUAUGAUGUUUGAUGUGAAGCUCAUAUUUGACUAGACACGGAGUUUAAGAAAGAAAGGAAGACUUUUGAAACUUGUGGUCUAAAACAGGGCAUAGAUAUUUGUGUGGCUGUAAAUCAUUUCAUUAAGGGUAAAAGGGGAAGAUUUAAGUUAAGUUAUUUCUAACCUAGAAAUGUAUCAUUCUUUCUGGGACAGACUAAAAAGGAAAAUGUAUCACAUAAAUCGAGACUGAGGGAGUAUUUACUUUUUGGGGCUAUUUUGUACUGCAUUUUUAUAUGAAUUUGAUGUGAAGCUCAUAUGUGCCAUGGUUGUGCUUGUGCCGAGGGUCGUAGGGGUAAGGUACCCUUCUAGACCCCACUUUGUGGGAUUUCACUGGGUAUGCUAUUAUUGUUGUUGUGAAGGUCAUAUGUAUUUUGGGCCUUAAUAGCUACACCAAUAUCUUUUGAGCCGAGGGUCUAUAGGAAACAACCUCUGUACCUCUCAAAAGGUAGAGGUAAGGUCUGCGUACAUCUUUACCUCGCGAGGGCCCCACUUGUGGGGGGGGGGGGGUAUGUUGUUGUUGUUGUAGUAGCUACACCAAUGCUGUUUCUUGAGUUUUGGAGGUAAAUUCCCCCUUUCUUGGUAUAAGAAUCUUCUUCUUCCUAUAAUUCCGGGUUU